GCGAAGGACGACCAAAGCAGAAGAACGCAAUGGAGAAAGAAGAGAAAGAAGAAAAGAAAGAAAGAAAACGAUUUAGCCGUUCGAUUUCAAUUCCGACUUCGGUGUAUGUUGGAAGAGAUUUGGGUGAAAUCGGGAGCUAGGGAGUGUCGAUAAGAGCCUUCUAGUGCCACGGUGCAGAAGCCAAAUUGUCCACACCAGAGUUAAAAGUCACGUACCAUCCAGUCAGGUCAGAAGUUCUAAUAAAGUUGGAUCAAAGAACAGUAAAAUCAAUAACCAAUUUGAUUCAAAAGGAACAAGUGUGUUCGGCAGCAGCAAAAGGCAAAACCGCACACAGAGUCUUUCGUUGCCUGCCAAACGGCGCCCAUCUGUUCGAAUGAAAAUAAGCAUUGAUGUGCAUUUGAACAAGAAAAAUGCUGCAAAGGUUGAGUUCAAUAUUUCAGAUCGGAUUCUAACCGUGCGAUCAGUGCAGGGAUUCCUAAACUAGGCCUUCCCCAUGGAUCUAUGACGAGACCUACUACUGAUCUGAUGAAGAGGAUGCUCGAUCUGCUACCUCCUCAUCGUAUGUUCAAAAUCUUAGAUUUCCUUAUCUGGUUUCGACUCAGCAUAAAAUGUGUUCUUCAAAUAGGAUUCUUACUCCCAAAUCAAGGCACAGGAUUAAUGUGUGGGCAUUCUCCUUCAAGCUAGAGGAGCGAGCUAAAAAACGAAUAGAGGAGCACCAAGGAAGACCUUGACAUUUAAAGCCACACCUAUGCUAAGUUUCUACAAAGAAGG